rnacentral:tRNA from 1 species
AGGAUAAUAGUUAAUUUAACAUUUAAUUUGCAUUUAAAAAAUAUUGAUUUUUUCAAUUUAUCUUA